rnacentral:rRNA from 1 species
GAUGAACGCUGGCGGCGUGCCUAAUACAUGCAAGUCGAGCGAACGGACGAGAAGCUUGCUUCUCUGAUGUUAGCGGCGGACGGGUGAGUAACACGUGGAUAACCUACCUAUAAGACUGGGAUAACUUCGGGAAACCGGAGCUAAUACCGGAUGAUAUUUUGAACCGCAUGGUUCAAAAGUGAAAGACGGUCUUGCUGUCACUUAUAGAUGGAUCCGCGCUGCAUUAGCUAGUUGGUAAGGUAACGGCUUACCAAGGCAACGAUGCAUAGCCGACCUGAGAGCGAGUAGGACAACACGGGAACUGAGCCAGAGCCAAGACACCGGGAGAGGGCAGCGGUAGGGACUCUUCCGCAAGGGACAAGAGCGGAACGGAGCACAGCGGGGUAAGUACUGAUGGUCUACGGAUCAUAAAACUCUGUAAUUAGGAAAGAACUUAGGCUAAAUUAACCGUGCUCAUCUUAACGGUACCUAAACAAAAAGCCACGGCUAACUCCGUG